rnacentral:rRNA from 1 species
GUGCCAGCAGCCGCGGUAAUACGUAGGUGACUAGCGUUGUCCGGAUUUACUGGGCGUAAAGAGCGCGCAGGCGGUCGUGCAAGUCGAGUGUGAAAGCCCCCGGCUCAACUGGGGAGGGUCACUCGAUACUGCUCGACUUGAAGACGGGAGAGGGAAGCGGAAUUCCCGGUGUAGUGGUGAAAUGCGUAGAUAUCGGGAGGAACACCAGUGGCGAAGGCGGCUUCCUGGCCCGUUCUUGACGCUGAGGCGCGAAAGCUAGGGGAGCAAACGGGAUUAGAUACCCUCGUAGUCC